GACGAACCGUGCGAACGUUGUUCGGAAUCACUGGGCUUAAAGGGCGCGUAGGCGGGCUGCCAAGUCAGGGGUGAAAUCCUGCGGCUCAACCGUAGAAGUGCCUUUGAUACUGGCGGCCUGGAGGGAGGUAGGGGCGUGCGGAACUUCCGGUGGAGCGGUGAAAUGCGUAGAUAUUAGGAAGAACACCGGUGGCGAAGGCGGCCAUCGUGCUCGGUACUGACGCUCAGGUUCGAAAGCGUGGGGAGCAAACAGG
rnacentral:rRNA from 1 species